UACGUAGGGGGCAAGCGUUGUCCGGAUUCAUUGGGCGUAAAGAGCUCGUAGGCGGCUUGGCAAGUCGGGUGUGAAACCUCCAGGCUCAACCUGGAGACGCCACCCGAUACUGCCAUGGUCUAGAGUCCGGUAGGGGACCACGGAAUUCCUGGUGUAGCGGUGAAAUGCGCAGAUAUCAGGAGGAACACCGGUGGCGAAGGCGGGUCUCUGGGCCGUAACUGACGCUGAGGAGCGAAAGCAUGGGGAGCGAGCAGG
rnacentral:rRNA from 1 species